rnacentral:lncRNA from 1 species
CCGGGAGGCAGGGUGCACUUGAAGUAUUGGAAACAUUGCUUCAAAGAUCUGUGCGCUCUGAAGGAUGCUAAAUGCGGCGCGACUGGCGGUGCUGGGGAGACAGGAUUCCCCCGGCCGUCUUUUAUGGGGAAUCUCUUCUUCCCCUUCAUCCCUACGUCCUAUUCUAGCCGCCGACCAACUUGGUGCCUGGGAUUGCCUCGCUCGUGGAUGUAGAACCUGGAACCGCGGGAGGGUGAGCGCUAAUGAGAGUCCUUUGGGGAUGCCGUGGGGUUGCCACGGGGCUGGGGUGCUGGCGAAAGAGGAGCUGUUUGCACGUUGUAGAGCCACCGGGGAAAGGACUGGAGGAGCGAGGCCGUGUUCCAGGGCACAGCACAGAGCGUUUGCGGAAGGAUUGACAGGCGGAGUAGACCUAACCAGUGUGCUCCGAGCACAUCUGGGCAUAGUUAAUUUGGGAAAUACUUCAUCUUUCAGAUGCUUUCCCUUAGAUUUACAUCAUCUGGAGCUCUGGAGCCGAGCUGCUGCCCUGGGCGGGUGCACGGAGGACAGAACCCUCAGUUACAGCUGGGUAACCCCGGACCUGAAUGGAGGGGGCCUGAACAACCAGAGGUGGACGUUUUCUGCGAAUGCAGGGCCACUGGUCCAGAGGUCUAACCACCCCUGACUCCUCUUGCCAGAGAUUGGAGCACUGGGGUGAGUAGUUUGCUGCCAUCCCAGUACUAAGCCAGUCUCUCUGCUCGUUCUGCCGACUUAGUUUCCUACCAAAGGAGUGAUUGCCUUUCUCUCUUGUGACCAGUGCCAUUUUAUAACUUCCUUGUAAUCCAAUGAAUUGCUGAGUUCCCUUUUAUACAGGCAAAACAAUAACAACAACUAAAAAAACCCGAAUACUUAUUGCUGUUACCCUGUGUCUGCCUGGAAUUUGGCCCUGCCCUGUGGGAAUUCAGGUUCCUCAUGUUUGCGCUCAGAACUUGGUGCCCUGGGUCUCCUGCCUUGUUCUUGCUUUGUUAGACGUGGCUUUUGAAACUUGGACACCUGUAUAUAAGCUGCCUUUUUCUACUCAUUUACUGCGUCAUCCUUUCCCAAAACCCGAUAUAGACUGAUCUCCCAGGUUAGGGCUACUUCUGAACCCAUGUUUUUGCUACCUGCAUGCACUCUCAAUGGAAAGCUCUGAUGCCCACAGUGGUCUAGGUCCCAGGUUGUGCGUGAUGGCUCCGCCAUCCACUGACCACAUUCUGGUCCUGACAAUCAUUGCACUGAAUCUAAUUUUGACGACAGUGUGCAUAUGAGCUUGACAUUGAAAUAUUUGAAAAGCCAGGAAUAUUAAAAGCAACUGCUCAUUAUACACAUAUAACUUGAUUAUAGACAAUGCCUAUGUUUGAUUUUCAACAAAAGGUUUUUAGUGACUCUUCAGCAAUGUUAGAAGUCAUGUUGAAUUUCUUGCAUUCUAAUGAAACGGCCGUAAUUCAAUUAUUAUGUAACAUUAGUAUUUUCUUUCAAGUAUUCUUAUUUCACUCUUGUCUCUAAAUUUCAGCUGCUUAAAAUGACUUCAACUCUUAUUAGGGUAAUUUUGGUUGUUUCUCUGAUUUCCAGACUUGUAAGUGCUAUGAAUCUGCAGUUCACCUUGGAAAGAGAACUAUUUCAAGUUGAAGGUGAAUGACCUCACACGUUCUCCAAAAUGUCUAAUAGAUUCCCAGCACAGUCCUACUUCAGUCUUAGGGCACAGCUGUAGGUACAGGACUGAUGCCAUCUGGUGUAAUUUCACAACAUCAGAGGGAAUUCAGCCAGAGUGGGCCAUGCGCUGGCUUUUCUGGGAAAGAUGUGCUGCCAAGAUUUGUUUUGGAUUCACUUGCAGGGGUGAGAACUUGGAAUUAGGUGAGUGCAAACUAUGCAGUACCCCGUUUUUAGGCUGGCAUUUUAUGUUUCCAGUUCUGUCUGUAGUUUCAAAAUAAGUACAAAAAGAGUGAAGUUUUUUUAAAUGGCUGAAAUUUUAAACAUUGUGGAAUGGUUAAACCGUUUAGGAUUGUGGGAAAUGCUUCCUUUUCCUAACUCAUCCUUUCUAAUCUAGGGACGUGUAGGAUAGUGAUGGUCCUAAUGCAGUACUCAGAAAGUAUCAGCAGGUACUGUUCUAGGUCGUCACUGGUACAGCUGCUCUGAGGCACUUGGGCUGACGUACGCUAAAUCCACAGUUAAGUCUGCUCUGGGAUCACUGGGAAAUCUCGGCCCCAUGUCUGUGUCCCAUGCAGGGCGGAUUGAGUGGUAGGUGUCUGGUGCUGAUUUUUGGUUGUUGUUUGAAUCAGUGAAAUAAAUUCUCAAUUCUCCAUUUCUCACUUCGUGUACACAAAAUAAAGUUAUACAUUAAGUAAUGAUCUGAUUAACUAUCUUAAUAGUUAGCAUCUUACCCUGUAAGAAUUUGGGUAAUCAGAAGGGCAGACCUGUGUUUCGAACAGUAAUCAGAACAUAAUGGGCACUCAGAAAACUUCCAGAUGGGUUGAGCUAAAAAGCCUUAUUUUCAUUAAUAACAGCUAUUUUAUAUAAGCCGAACCAUUUCCUCCAUUCUUGAUCUGUGUAGACAUGGGUGGGUUCAAGUUGAAAUUUUUGUGCUCAGCUUUUGUUUUAUUUAUAUGACUCUGAAGUUACUUGAACUUACUGAAUAUGUAUAGAUUCUUCAGGCAAGAUAUUUUCUACUUUCAGAUGGAAAUCUUGCUUUCCUAUUGGGAAUCCAGGUGGAUUGCUACCUUGAAGUUACUGCACUGAACAGUGGCUUAAACAAAGCAGGGGUUUUGUUCUCUAGUAACAAGGAGGUUGGGGUAGGUGAUUGCUGUGUUGGUUCAGCAGCUCACAGAUGUCAGGGUCAGGGUGGCCUCUCGGGUGCCCUUGCCUUUCCCUCAGGUGGCUGCAGUUCCCCUAAAGAAGCUGGAGAAGGCCAAAGGUCAUGCCAGUUCGAAUUGCUCCCUUUUAGAGAGUUUUCUCAGCCGCCCAACAACUGCCAGACUGUGUCACUGGCUACUGCUAUCCACAGAGUGGCCUGAGAAAUAUAGUCUUGGUAGCUGGGCAUAUAACUGCCUUCAACAAAAAUCUGAGUUCUCGUCAUGAGGUAGAUGAUGAUAGAUCUGGAGUGAACAACUAGCCUGUGUCCUGGCUACAAAGUACAGCUGUAAAGGCGCACAGCUUCGGGGCAGAUCAGCACUCUAGCACCUUCACAGGUGGCCGCCCGCCCAGCACCGCUGCUCUGCUCGCAGAGAGCGAGCGCAGAGUGAAGACGGGCUAGGCUUUCUUGCCAGCACUUGCCAAGACUGAGCUGGACUCUCAGCCAAUACACUUGCCCACAUCAGGAUUUUCCAGAGGAGGACCCUGGGAACGUGCACACUCCCUUGGUGGACAUACUCUCUUUAUGGAGGUUCGGAAUGGCAUGAAGAAUAUUCCUACCUUGCUGCUUCCUCAUCGGCUUCAUGUUUCUCUUCUCCAAUUUUCCUGACAGAUUUUUGGAGGAGUCUUGUUUGUGUAUGUGAUCUCCAUACAAGGAUCAUCCCUUUCAUGCCCAGAGGAGGGUCUAUGUAAAGAAAGCUGCUUUACCCCUUUUUGUGACUCCACUACCAAUCUAGGAAUCUCCUGGGUGAAAAACUGCUUCUCAAAACUGCUUCUAUAAGCAGCCCACACCCUGGCUAAGCAAAGGGAGAGGAAACACUUCCCACGUCCAGGGCUGUUCAAAAGAACUUUCUGUGAUGACAGAAAUGUUCUGUCUGCACUGUCCAAGAGGGCAGCCCCUAGCCCCAGUGAACACUUGAAAUGUGGCUAGUGUGACAUUUACAUAAAAAGUACAUUGUAAGUAAUGUAAAUGCAAGUGGCCACGUGUGGCUGGUGGCUGUGGUGUGGCACAGCGGGGCACACACGGCAUCUUGCACUUUAGAGCCAGCUGGGAGGGGUUUGAGCCAGCCCUGCGCCAGGCGUUCCGUGGUCUUCACUAUUCCGCCUUGCCGUUGAACUUGUCUUCUGGAGAAAAAGGAAAAAAUGGAACUAAAUUCAAGAUGUUCACUUGACAUCUCCUCAUUGCACGCAUAAUGGAGAGGGGUCUCCUGGGAAUCGGUCCUGUGAUUGAUUUUAGCGAUUAUUGAUAAUGGGAAAAUGGCGGAGCUGAUCCACGUAGCAAUUCCUAGGGAACAUUGUGUGUUCCUGGUCAGAUAAGUCAGCGGAGAUUAUUUUGUUCUAUUGUGCAAUUCAUUGUGUUACUUUAUUUUUGUUGUAUUAUGGCUGCUAAAUGAUGAUUUCGUGUAUGUUUUUCAAAAUACUUAGUGGUUUAUAUUUUUUUAAAGGCUGUGAAAUAAAAAAUAA